rnacentral:rRNA from 1 species
AAACUUUCAACAACGGAUCUCUUGGUUCUGGCAUCGAUGAAGAACGCAGCGAAAUGCGAUAAGUAAUGUGAAUUGCGGAAUUCAGUGAAUCAUCGAAUCUUUGAACGCACAUUGCGCCCUGUGGUAUUCCGCAGGGCAUGCCUGUUCGAGCGUCAUUA